rnacentral:rRNA from 1 species
CAUGCAAGUCGAGCGGUAGCACAGAGAGCUUGCUCUCGGGUGACGAGCGGCGGACGGGUGAGUAAUGUCUGGGAAACUGCCUGAUGGAGGGGGAUAACUACUGGAAACGGUAGCUAAUACCGCAUGACCUCGAAAGAGCAAAGUGGGGGACCUUCGGGCCUCACGCCAUCGGAUGUGCCCAGAUGGGAUUAGCUAGUAGGUGAGGUAAUGGCUCACCUAGGCGACGAUCCCUAGCUGGUCUGAGAGGAUGACCAGCCACACUGGAACUGAGACACGGUCCAGACUCCUACGGGAGGCAGCAGUGGGGAAUAUUGCACAAUGGGCGCAAGCCUGAUGCAGCCAUGCCGCGUGUGUGAAGAAGGCCUUAGGGUUGUAAAGCACUUUCAGCGAGGAGGAAGGGUUCAGUGUUAAUAGCACUGUGCAUUGACGUUACUCGCAGAAGAAGCACCGGCUAACUCCGUGCCAGCAGCCGCGGUAAUACGGAGGGUGCAAGCGUUAAUCGGAAUUACUGGGCGUAAAGCGCACGCAGGCGGUUUGUUAAGUCAGAUGUGAAAUCCCCGAGCUUAACUUGGGAACUGCAUUUGAAACUGGCAAGCUAGAGUCUUGUAGAGGGGGGUAGAAUUCCAGGUGUAGCGGUGAAAUGCGUAGAGAUCUGGAGGAAUACCGGUGGCGAAGGCGGCCCCCUGGACAAAGACUGACGCUCAGGUGCGAAAGCGU